UGGGGGCGUAGUGAAGCUGGUUUAUCACGCUGGCCUGUCAAGCCGGAGAUCGCGGGUUCAAGCCCCGUCGCUCCCGUC
rnacentral:tRNA from 1 species